GACGAACGCUGGCGGCGUGCUUAACACAUGCAAGUCGAACGGAAAGGCCCUGCUUUUGUUGGGUGCUCGAGUGGCGAACGGGUGAGUAACACGUGAGUAACCUGCCCUUGCCUUUGGGAUAACUUCAGGAAACUGGGGCUAAUACCGGAUAGGAGCUCCUGCUGCAUGUUGGGGGUUGGAAAGUUUCGGCGGUUGGGGAUGGACUCGCGGCUUAUCAGCUUGUUGGUGGGGUAGUGGCUUACUAAGGCUUUGACGGGUAGCCGGCCUGAGAGGGUGACCGGGCACAUUGGGACUGAGAUACGGCCCAGACUGCUACGGGAGGAAGCAGUGGAGAAUAUUGCAAGAUGGGCGGAAGCCUGAAGCAGCAACGCCGCGUGCGAGAUGACGGCCUUCAGGUUGUAAACCGCUUUCGCCUGUGAAGAAGAGUGAGUGACGGUAAUGGGUAAAGAAGCACCGGCUAACUACGUG
rnacentral:rRNA from 1 species